rnacentral:rRNA from 1 species
UACGUAGGGUGCAAGCGUUUGUCCGGAAUUAUUGGGCGUAAAGAGCUUGUAGGCGGUUUGUCGCGUCUGCUGUGAAAUUUCGGGGCUCAACCCCGAACUUGCAGUGGGUACGGGCAGACUAGAGUGUGGUAGGGGAGACUGGAAUUCCUGGUGUAGCGGUGAAAUGCGCAGAUAUCAGGAGGAACACCGAUGGCGAAGGCAGGUCUCUGGGCCAUAACUGACGCUGAGAAGCGAAAGCAUGGGGGAGCGAACAGG